rnacentral:rRNA from 1 species
CAGUAGCCGCGGGAAUACGAAGGGGGCUAGCGUUGCUCGGAAUGACUGGGCGUAAAGGGCGCGUAGGCGGCGAUCAAAGUCAGGCGUGAAAUUCCUGGGCUCAACCUGGGGGCUGCGCUUGAUACUUGGUUGCUUGAGUGGGGAAGAGGGUCGUGGAAUUCCCAGUGUAGAGGUGAAAUUCGUAGAUAUUGGGAAGAACACCGGUGGCGAAGGCGGCGACCUGGUCCUUGACUGACGCUGAGGCGCGAAAGCGUGGGGAGCAAACAGGAUUAGAUACCCGUGUAGUCCCUGUCUCUUAUCC